AGUUUCGGUCUCGUUGGUGACAGCGGAGGGAUCAUUACAGAGUUGCAAAACUCCCUAAACCAUUGUGAACGUUACCCAAACCGUUGCUUCGGCGGGCGGCGCCCAGCGCCCCCCCGGCCCCUCGCGGGGCGCCCGCCGGAGGUACCCCAAACCAUUGAUACUUUAUGGCCUCUCUGAGUCUUCUGUACUGAAUAAGUCAAAACUUUCAACAACGGAUCUCUUGGUUCUGGCAUCGAUGAAGAACGCAGCGAAAUGCGAUAAGUAAUGUGAAUUGCAGAAUUCAGUGAAUCAUCGAAUCUUUGAACGCACAUUGCGCCCGCCAGUAUUCUGGCGGGCAUGCCUGUUCGAGCGUCAUUUCAACCAUCAAGCCCCCGGCUUGUGUUGGGGACCUGCGGCUGCCGCAGGCCCUGAAAAGCAGUGGCGGGCUCGCUGUCACACCGAGCGUAGUAGAUUUCAUCUCGCUCUGGGCGUGCUGCGGGUUCCGGCCGUUAAACCACCUUAUAACCCAAGGUUGACCUCGGAUCAGGUAGGAAGACCCGCUGAACUUAAGCAUACAAGUGUUGGGGAAAAAUCUUGGGAAACUUUUAGGGAAUGGCGGGAUCAUAUCCCAGAGAGAAUCCCCUACUUCGUCCCUUGGCAACCCAAGUUCACAGAUGCGCUAAGGGCCGGUUCAAAGAUCUAACACCGGUCUGGGAAAAGCGCUCCAUCGAAGGCGCAAAAUCUGAGGCCAAAAGUUUUAUACUCCAGCGCGGGCCCCGAGGCUCUCUUUUAAAAUUGUGCCGAGAGAGCAUCCCCGCGGGCUUAGAGGGGGGAGAGUGAGCUCUGUGGGAAGCUC
rnacentral:rRNA from 1 species